rnacentral:rRNA from 1 species
CAGUCGCCACGGUAACACCGAGGAUGCAAGCGUUAUCCGGAAUGAUUGGGCGUAAAGCGUCUGUAGGUGGCUUUUCAAGUCCGCCGUCAAAUCCCCGGGCUCAACCCUGGACAGGCAGUGGAAACUACCAAGCUGGAAUACGGUAGGGGCAGAGGGAAUUUCCGGUGGAGCGGUGAAAUGCGUUGAGAUCGGAAGGAACACCAACGGCGAAAGCACUCUGCUGGGCCGACACUGACACUGAGAGACGAAAGCUAGGGGAGCAAAUGGGAUUAGAUACCCCCGUAGUCCCUGUCUCUUAUAU